CUCCCUUCUGGGUUACCAGGCAUCCUGGGGUAUGGGGAGGGGAGGCUGGUGGAGGCAGGAGGAACGGGGCCUGAGUGGCUGUGUGGGAAGCUCUGCCUCUCAUGUGUCCUGUCUCUCCAGGCCCCAGGGACAGUGGAGGGAGCGUCUCCAGCCUUCAGCAAACAUCAGGAAGAGAACGCUCAGCUAUAGGACCUACCAUUAGAGGUGGCUGCGUCAUAACUCUGGUUUCAGGACUGUCAUCCCCACUAGACUGUCAGAGACUUUGCGUCAGGAAUGCGCAAUACCUUAGUGACAACCGGCAAGCUGAGUGAGCGCAUGGAGAGAUGGAGUGAGAUGUGUCUCCGAGGAUUUCAUGAGAGCCGGGGGCUGCCCUGUCCCACCACAGACUUCUACACACCUCUACCUCCAUACCCCGGUUCCUCCUCCCUCCCUUUGACCUCAGUCCCUACUCAACAGUCCCCUGGUGCUCACACAUGGCCGGCUGAGAACUCCUCCAAGCUUGCCACCUAGCUCAGGACUCCCGCGGCCCGGGAGACAACGAGCCUCUGGGUAACUUUGGAGUCAUCUGUGCAGCUGUCCUGUGAGGCAGGGAACCAAAUGGCCACAAAUGGUGACAAGAAGAGCCCUCAUAAGGAUGAAGAAAGUAUGGCUUGCUGGCCUUAGCACAGGCUGUCUUUUGGGUUGCCCCAUCUUCCUUUCCCAUCUUUCCUCUUUCCAGAUCCCAUUAGGGCUCCUGGGUACCAGAAAGUGAUGCCCAGUUGAGCAGCUGUUCACAUACAAGUGGAAGGCAGCAGCCAAGAACCAGGCCUAAUACUUGCUCCAGCCCCAUCCAGCCAGGCCUCGGCUCCCAAACACAGAGCUGCCUCCUUCCUGCCAGAAUUCUACAGGUGAGGCUCCAGGCAGGUGUAGAGAGCUCCCCAGCAGCCCAACACUGCAAGGUUGGAAACCUCGCUGUAGCCGGACAAGCCUAUGAUUGGCACCAGAGAGGAAGGGCCUGAAGAAGCAGCCUCCCCAACAUUUGCCUGGGUCUCAGAUGCCGGAGAAGUGAAGGAGAGCAGGGGAUGUGAAGGCAUCAGCCCUGGGCUUGGGGAUGAGGUAUAAGGGCCUUGAACGAAUUGACCUUGGUGUUCUCGGAAGGAACAUGUGAGAACAUCCACCCCCCCCGGCCUGCCUGUUCGGUCCCGGUCUGCUGGACAGGAAGCACGAUCUAGGCUGUGGAGUUAAACCAAAUUGCAUUGAGACCUCCAUAGGCAGGUUACGUUGCUCCCAUCCCCGAACUCGCCUCUAAACCUCCAGAAAGAACAACGAGCUUCUUACUGUAGGCGGAGGCCAGCUGUCAUCAUUCUCCUCUGGUAAGAGUCUCGGGUAUUGGAAGACAAAUGGCCUGAACUCUGCAAUACCCGUCCCCUGGGGUGGCUGGUGACAGCUGGUUGAGGGGAGAGGGGGAAUGGGCUCGGACACGUUGGCAGGUAUCCCCGUGAGCCCAGAGCUGAGAAAAAGAGAACUCAGGAGGGGGGACUCGGUGGGUGGUCCACCAAGGAGCAGUCACCCUACUCAGCCACACAAUCUCCCUAGAGCAAUGGAUGGGCCCAGGCCCUUGCUCGCCUAGAACAAUGAGAACAGAAGCUGAUCAUUGCCGGACUGCAACCAGACUCAGUGGCAGUUGGGGAGCCAGCUGUAGGUCAGGAGUAAAAGUACAAAGUGGGGGGGAGGCCAGGACUUAUGGGCUUGGAAACUGGCCUCUGCAGGCACACUGAGGGGUCUACGAUCCCUGCAGAAUGGCCCCAGGGUCCAGAUUUUCCUCCCCUGGCUGGGAAGGAGGGUGGAUCCACAUGGGAGUCAGAGAGGCCUUGCAGAGGGUAAGGGGCUUGGAGAGGCCACUACAGGGUCAGGGCAGGGGAGUGUGAAGGUUAGGAGUGAUGCUGAGGCUAGCCAAAGAAAAGCUUUCCUUCCAGGGGGCCCUAAGGCCAGGGAAAGGCCUGCAGGGGCUACUAGGGAGGGGCUCAGGGUCUGGCUCGAGAAGGCUGAAAAAGAACACGCAGUCUGGGCAUCUGGGCGGGUGGCAGGUAUCAGGCAGAGCAGCUCCAGGAGCCCAGACCAGUGCCCCUCGGCAUCCCCUGGCCUCUCUGUCCCUUGGUUGAGUUUGGGUGUCUUUCACCUUUGGGUCAUUAAUGCUUCUUUUGAAAGGUUCCUACUUGUUCUUUGCUGGGUUUGGCGGGGGAGAGGGGGAAGGGGCUGACCUGGAAGCCGGGCAAGGCCAGGGUGAGAGGGGAAGGAGCUGGUGCAUGGGGAGCUCACCACU